GACGAACGCUGGCGGCGUGCCUAAUACAUGCAAGUUGAGCGCUGAAGGUUGGUACUUGUACCAACUGGAUGAGCAGCGAACGGGUGAGUAACGCGUGGGGAAUCUGCCUUUGAGCGGGGGACAACAUUUGGAAACGAAUGCUAAUACCGCAUAAAAACUUUAAACACAAGUUUUAAGUUUGAAAGAUGCAAUUGCAUCACUCAAAGAUGAUCCCGCGUUGUAUUAGCUAGUUGGUGAGGUAAAGGCCCACCAAGGCGAUGAUACAUAGCCGACCUGAGAAGGUGAUCGGCCAAAUUGGGACUGGGACACGGCCCAAGCUCCUACGGGAGGCAGCAGUAGGGAAUCUUCGGCAAUGGACGAAAGUCUGACCGAGCAACGCCGCGUGAGUGAAGAAGGGUUUCGGAUCGUAAAACUCUGUUGGUAGAGAAGAACGUUGGUGAGAGUGGAAAGCUCAUCAAGUGACGGUAACUACCCAGAAAGGGACGGCUAACUACGUG
rnacentral:rRNA from 1 species